CGACCAGACUCCUACGGGAGGCAGCAGUGGGGAAUAUUGCACAAUGGGGGAAACCCUGAUGCAGCGACGCCGCGUGAAGGAUGAAGUAUUUCGGUAUGUAAACUUCUAUCAGCAGGGAAGAAAAUGACGGUACCUGACUAAGAAGCCCCGGCUAACUACGUGCCAGCAGCCGCGGUAAUACGUAGGGGGCAAGCGUUAUCCGGAUUUACUGGGUGUAAAGGGAGCGUAGGCGGCGAUGCAAGUCAGAAGUGAAAGCCCGGGGCUCAACUCCGGGACUGCUCUGGAAACUGCGUCGCUGGAGUACGGGGGGGGCAGGCGGAAUUCCUGGUGUAGCGGUGAAAUGCGUAGAUAUCAGGAGGAACACCGGCGGCGAAGGCGGCCUGCUGGACCGUGACUGACGUUGAGGCUCGAGAGCGUGGGGAGCAAACAGGAUUAGAUACCCGCGUAGA
rnacentral:rRNA from 1 species